UACGAAGGGGGCUAGCGUUGUUCGGAUUUACUGGGCGUAAAGGGCGCGUAGGCGGCGCGGUAAGUCACUUGUGAAAUCUCUGAGCUUAACUCAGAACGGCCAAGUGAUACUGCAGUGCUAGAGUGCAGAAGGGGCAAUCGGAAUUCUUGGUGUAGCGGUGAAAUGCGUAGAUAUCAAGAGGAACACCUGAGGUGAAGACGGGUUGCUGGGCUGACACUGACUGAGGCGCGAAAGCGUGGGGAGCAAACAGG
rnacentral:rRNA from 1 species